rnacentral:lncRNA from 1 species
AAAAAGGCAUGAAUAUUAUUUCAUCUUUGCAGUAGCAGCAGCAUGGAAUGGAUAGAUGCAUGGUGUCAAAAAUGAAUAAAUGCAAGAUUGGCCCAUUAAAUUUGUGAGGGCAAGGAUGUGCAGAAGCCAGCCAAGAGUAAAGGGUACAUAUGAUCAUAGGCCCAUCAUGUGCUUCUGCUAACAUGCACAGGUAGGUUGUGAUAGAUACACUAGUACUUCUAACUCAUCACACACCACUCAAAUUCCUAUUCUACAUCAUAAACUUCCUCUUAUAUAUUUUCACUCUUUCAUUUUGUGUUAUCCCUUAUUUGGAAAUUAUAUUAUUACUAUACACUCCUUAAUUUUCCAUAACAAACCGUACUACAAUACAUACAAUAAUAUCCGACCAUAUAUUUUUACUAUUUAAUACACACCACAUGUACAUUUA